AUUGGUGAGUAACUCUGCAUAGCUGGAAUAUAGGCAUAAAAGAGAAGGCAAGAAAUGAAGCUGAAAUGGUUUCACAACUCAUAAUUUGGACAAGAGCAGCUUCUUACUCUGUCUAGGGAAUAAAGAAUAUUUCCCUCUAAAAUGGCAUUACGGACUUUAAAGAAAUUUUUUCUGGUUUGCAUCUCAAUUUUAUAGUUAUUAGGCUAUGCCAGAACAAAUAUUAUUUCUGAAAUAUGUGUCAUGCUCAAGACACUAACGUAAACCUAUUUGGCCACUUGAGUGAAAAGCUUUGAAGACUGUACGGGAAAUUCACGAUUUAGUACUUUAAACACACAGCACCAGGAAGAAAAUCACCACAAGAAUUAACAAAUCAGCAGUCUAAAGCCAAAGACUCCAAGGUGCUAAUUAAAAAAGCUUCCAAAAGUUCUUGUUAUUUUUUUUAAGGCCAUGUUCCUUGCAGGUGAGACAAAUAGGCCCCUGCUGCCUCCAAGCAAAUCUUGAAGGAAACUUCCAGCAAGGCCUGGUGACUGGAAACUACUCAGCCUUGAAAUUAACAUCCCUAAGAAAAACCUUUUCCACUCCCUCUAGACAACAGCAGCUUACAUCUUCAGGACAAAACGAAAAAAAAAAAAUGAUGACAAAAAAGAGGCCAGAGAAGACAGUUGGAGUAGUCACGCUGUGUUCUCUUGAAGGGAGCCUUCAUUCUUUACCUCAGAGAGAGAGCGUGAAAACACACAGAUCCUGACAAUGGAUUUAGUCAACGUGGCCAAUCUCCCUACUUCCUUACACGUACAUACCACUGAGUUUACCUUAAAAAAGUAAAAGCAGAAAUUUUCACAAAAGCUGUGCAUCAGGAGCUGUUAUUACAAAUGAGGCCAAGGCUCUGCAUAAGAAGAAAAGGAUCUUUCACAAGUUCAUAAUGGGAACCGAAUGCAAAAGCCAUAUAAUUAUAAUCCAGAAUAUGGCAUCCUAUGAUAUAAAAUAUUUCCACUUAGCUUAACUGUUUUCCAUUCAAUAUUAUUUCCAGCAAUAAAAGCCUCUGGAAUAUCACUCAAACUGGUUCAAGUUAAAUUCCAAUCUAGAUCUUUGUUAGCUAAAGGACAUUUUUUUAAUCCAGUCAUCUUUCUCCACCCUACACAUAAUUCAACAACAGCCCUUCAACAGGGAUAAAACAAUUUAAGCUCUGAAGUUGUUCUAUGCAUGUGUGUGUGAGAUUUUCAUGCCCUAUGUAUUUGGACUGAAAAUACUUCUCUCUGUCUCUCUCUCAUUUAGACUUUAUUUAAGAUGGUGAAAAAAAAAAAAGCAAAAUGUGAUAUUCACAAGUGCGCAGCAUCUUAUUUCCCAUUUAAAAAGUAUUCUGUAAAGAAAAGUCUUAUACAUAAAAAGAACUCUACUUGUAAAAAUGAAUAGGAAUAUGUACUAUGAAAAUAUUAACCAUCUUAGCUGUGAAGAGGUUCCAGUGGUUAUAAAGAGAAGGGAAAGUAGAUAGAAAGCUCUGGCUUGGCUGUUGGGUUUUUGGUUUGCUUGUUACAUGUUUACCUGUUUGUUUAACACUACAUAUAUCUCCAGGUACUCCACCAUCCAUGUCAUCAACUGUGGAAAAAUGUCCCAUUCUUUCUUAUGCCUAUUUCUUAGAAGUUCCAGAUAGUGAGGGAAAAUAUUCUAGGUCUCAAUGAGCAAUGUUAUAAAUUAUAUUUUGUAUGCUACACUUUAGAGAGAUGUCUUUAGUGUAUUAUACCAUUGAUGAUUCUUGUGAUUUUUAUUUCUAUGUAAAAUACAGUUUACACAAAAUUUCUAUCGCUUAGUGAGACAUUCAUAAUUACAUAUGAAUAAGAAUUACAGAAGACAUUAAAAUGUUUUCAUAAUAGAUGUGGAAAAAAGCUAUCCUGCGAGCAUGUUUAAAAUAGACAUGGUUUGCCUUAAACUGAGGCAUAAAGCCCCACUGCUAACUGAUAAUUUAAAGCACAAAGAUGGGGAACUGUUUUUCUCCUUACUUCUGCUUGUCUGUUUAUCUGAUGAAAUGUUCAAAUAAUUCCUCUUCUCAAAAUACUAGUCUCUAGUAAUGCUUUUUUAUAUAUGUGAUCCCUCAAGGUAGUCCUUCCCAA
rnacentral:lncRNA from 1 species